rnacentral:rRNA from 1 species
CCUUAACUCUGGGAUAAGCCUGGGAAACUGGGUCUAAUACCGGAUAUGACUCCUCAUCGCAUGGUGGGGGGUGGAAAGCUUUAUUGUGGUUUUGGAUGGACUCGCGGCCUAUCAGCUUGUUGGUGAGGUAAUGGCUCACCAAGGCGACGACGGGUAGCCGGCCUGAGAGGGUGACCGGCCACACUGGGACUGAGACACGGCCCAGACUCCUACGGGAGGCAGCAGUGGGGAAUAUUGCACAAUGGGCGCAAGCCUGAUGCAGCGACGCCGCGUGAGGGAUGACGGCCUUCGGGUUGUAAACCUCUUUCAGUAGGGAAGAAGCGAAAGUGACGGUACCUGCAGAAGAAGCGCCGGCUAACUACGUGCCAGCAGCCGCGGUAAUACGUAGGGCGCAAGCGUUAUCCGGAAUUAUUGGGCGUAAAGAGCUCGUAGGCGGUUUGUCGCGUCUGCCGUGAAAGUCCGGGGCUCAACUCCGGAUCUGCGGUGGGUACGGGCAGACUAGAGUGAUGUAGGGGAGACUGGAAUUCCUGGUGUAGCGGUGAAAUGCGCAGAUAUCAGGAGGAACACCGAUGGCGAAGGCAGGUCUCUGGGCAUUAACUGACGCUGAGGAGCGAAAGCAUGGGGAGCGAACAGGAUUAGAUACCCUGGUAGUCCAUGCCGUAAACGUUGGGCACUAGGUGUGGGGGACAUUCCACGUUUUCCGCGCCGUAGCUAACGCAUUAAGUGCCCCGCCUGGGGAGUACGGCCGCAAGGCUAAAACUCAAAGGAAUUGACGGGGGCCCGCACAAGCGGCGGAGCAUGCGGAUUAAUUCGAUGCAACGCGAAGAACCUUACCAAGGCUUGACAUGGGCCGGACCGGGCUGGAAACAGUCCUUCCCCUUUGGGGCCGGUUCACAGGUGGUGCAUGGUUGUCGUCAGCUCGUGUCGUGAGAUGUUGGGUUAAGUCCCGCAACGAGCGCAACCCUCGUUCCAUGUUGCCAGCGCGUAAUGGCGGGGACUCAUGGGAGACUGCCGGGGUCAACUCGGAGGAAGGUGGGGACGACGUCAAAUCAUCAUGCCCCUUAUGUCUUGGGCUUCACGCAUGCUACAAUGGCCGGUACAAAGGGUUGCGAUACUGUGAGGUGGAGCUAAUCCCAAAAAGCCGGUCUCAGUUCGGAUUGGGGUCUGCAACUCGACCCCAUGAAGUCGGAGUCGCUAGUAAUCGCAGAUC